UACGUAGGGGGCAAGCGUUGUCCGGAUUUACUGGGUGUAAAGGGGGCGCAGACGGCGAUGCAAGCCAGGAGUGAAAGCCCGGGGCCCAACCCCGGGACUGCUCUUGGAACUGCGUGGCUGGAGUGCAGGAGGGGCAGGCGGAAUUCCUGGUGUAGCGGUGAAAUGCGUAGGUAUCAGGAGGAACACCGGUGGCGAAGGCGGCCUGCUGGACUGCAACUGACGUUGAGGCCCGAAAGCGUGGGGAGCAAACAGG
rnacentral:rRNA from 1 species